rnacentral:rRNA from 1 species
GACGAACCGUCCUAACGUUGUUCGGAAUCACUGGGCUUAAAGGGUGCGUAGGCGGGUCUUUAAGUCAGGGGUGAAAUCCUGGAGCUCAACUCCAGAACUGCCUUUGAUACUGAGGAUCUUGAGUUCGGGAGAGGUGAGUGGAACUGCGAGUGUAGAGGUGAAAUUCGUAGAUAUUCGCAAGAACACCAGUGGCGAAGGCGGCUCACUGGCCCGAUACUGACGCUGAGGCACGAAAGCGUGGGGAGCAAACAGG